GCUGGACGUGGUGGCCCACGCCUGUAAUCCCAGUGGCUGGGGAGCUUGAGGCAGGAGGAUCGAAAGUUCAAGGCCAACCUCACAGCGAGGCGCUAUGCACCCUGUCUCUA
rnacentral:sRNA from 1 species